rnacentral:rRNA from 1 species
GAUGAACGCCGGCGGUGUGCCUAAUACAUGCAAGUCGAGCGCACUGGCCCAACUGAUAUGACGUGCUUGCACUGAAUUGACGUUGGAUUCCCAGUGAGCGGCGGACGGGUGAGUAACACGUGGGCAACCUGCCCUGAAGCGGGGGAUAACAUCUGGAAACAGGUGCUAAUACCGCAUAACAACGAAAACCGCAUGGUUUUCGUUUCAAAGAUGGUUUCGGCUAUCACUUCAGGAUGGGCCCGCGGUGCAUUAGCUAGUUGGUAAGGUAACGGCUUACCAAGGCGAUGAUGCAUAGCCGAGUUGAGAGACUGAUCGGCCACAAUGGAACUGAGACACGGUCCAUACUCCUACGGGAGGCAGCAGUAGGGAAUCUUCCACAAUGGGCGCAAGCCUGAUGGAGCAACACCGCGUGAGUGAAGAAGGGUUUCGGCUCGUAAAGCUCUGUUGUUGGAGAAGAACGUGCGUGAGAGUAACUGUUCACGCAGUGACGGUAUCCAACCAGAAAGUCACGGCUAACUACGUGCCAGCAGCCGCGGUAAUACGUAGGUGGCAAGCGUUAUCCGGAUUUAUUGGGCGUAAAGCGAGCGCAGGCGGUUGUUUAGGUCUGAUGUGAAAGCCUUCGGCUUAACCGAAGAAGUGCAUCGGAAACCGGGCGACUUGAGUGCAGAAGAGGACAGUGGAACUCCAUGUGUAGCGGUGGAAUGCGUAGAUAUAUGGAAGAACACCAGUGGCGAAGGCGGCUGUCUGGUCUGCAACUGACGCUGAGGCUCGAAAGCAUGGGUAGCGAACAGG